GCCCUCGCCGGGGCGUGGAGCUCAGAGUGAGUGGCUGCCCGGCAGGCAGGAAGUGGCUCUGCGGGCAUUGGGAAGGCUUGGAGGAGAGGGGGCCUCUCGCUAGGUCCGAAGCUCAGAAUCCUCAGCCUUCUGGUGAAGAGAUCUUAGUGGCCGAAACAGGAGCCGGAAAGAGAGGGGUCAGGAGUGAAUGAAGCAAAGCAGCAUCUCCUCUCCUCCCAGGAAGGGGCCAGCAGUGAGGAAGAAGUCGGGUGUUCCAUCGCUAAAGUGUACCUCUGUGAUGCCCCAGCAAAGCGAGGCACACAGGGAUUGCCAAGUCGAAAUCAGUGGGAGGAAUCAUGAGCUGGGAGAAGAGAAAGGUGGGUAAAAGAGGAGAGGUGUCCUAAACAGACACAGCAGCCUACCACAGAGCAGCUCACCUGAGCAGCCCCCCUCUGUGUUGCUGGGCCUGGGGUGCUUCUGGGGCUCCAAAGUUGGGGUUCUUUUCCAUUCUUUACAUGUUGGUCCCCGCCAGUGGGGCAGGCCUGGCAGAGGUAUGCAAUUAUGUAUUUCACGUAAUUGUCGAGCUGCCCUGAAUAGGCAAGCUGGCCUCCUGCCUUCUCUCCCUGAGACACUGAUCAGAGCCUCCCUGAUCAGAGCACUGUGUCUGUCCUGUCCCUGCCUGCACACAGCUGAAACUGAAAUACCCUGGGCAAUCUGAGUGUCUUACAGUCCUCAGAGAGGCCCAGCAUAAGGCCUCCCUUGGGAGAGUGGGCCCGGUUUAACCACACUGAGUUUCAGGUGACUCGCUGGUGGGAUUUGUCCCAUUUUGAGUGGAAAUGAGUUUGACUGCUAAAUCCUACUCCUCUCUAAAUGCAAAGGCUCGGAAGUAAUCUCUUUAGAAGGCAAUGGCAUUGAAGUUUGACCUCUGGGGGUCCCUGCCGGCCCUGAGAAUUGGGGCCACUGGGUUCCUGAGGUGCUGCUGCCUGUCACAUUGGUGACCCCUCCCUCUUCCUGUAAUGCUUAGGCAGUGACUCUGAAGGUGGGCCAGCCACGGAGGGCCAAACCCCGGAUGAGAGCACAGGACAUUUUAAGACUAUUGCUAUUCUCACCCACCCCACACCAGCUAUGUGCCCCAAGUACCUGUGGACUCGAUGGGGCUUGCUUGUGUGCCUCCUUCCUUUCUCUCUCUCUCCCUCCCGCCCUCCCCCGUUUCUCUAUAGGCAAGCAAGAAAUGAGAGGGGCUGGCUUUGGCGAACUAGGAGCUUGGCUCCCAAUGCAUGGCAGGGAGCUGGCAGUGCAGCCCAAGAAGGAGUUAACCUCCAGGGAGAACACAGGCUUCUUCCAGACUGGAGGCCUGUGCCCAGCCAGGCUGCUGCCAACUCGGGAAGAAGUCCUGGGAUCUGUAGUUUGUGCCACCACCCGCCCCUGGCCUGCCUGUUUAUCAACACCUCCGUGUAGACUACAGUUCCCAGAAACCUGCUGAGGCCAGGCUUUGGGGGAAGGGGUGGGGUGUGAGGCUGGGGAUGGAGGAGAGAGGGAGAGGGAGGAGGUAGGAGAGAAAACCCAAUUCACCCCGUCUUUUCAUUCUUUUUCCUGGUGUGUCUGCUCCACCGCCUGAGCUAAUCCCCCAAAUCCGGUCUCCUAAGCUGCAGCUGCUCCCCUUCGCUGUGAUGAAUGGCUCAGGGAGGGAAGAUCUCUGGUGAGCUCUGCCCAGCCCGGCCCAGGGCAUGCCCCAGUUCACGUUUGCCUGCUUCUGUGGCCUCCACGGCUUCUGCAAGAUGAAGAAGAAGAAGGAGGACGUUUACAGAGAACGAGAAACAGCAGUGUGAGCAGAACCAAGACCCUUUUUGUCCGCUUUCUGCAGGGCACAGGCCUAAGGCUGCCGAGGCAGGAGCCACAAGAGCCUUCUUCUAAGUCUUCCAAGUCUUCUUUUAGCUCAGCUAAAGAGGCCUGACUAACCUGAGGCCAUUGGCCUCCUGUAUGCCUCCCAGGCCUCCUCAUGCCCAGCCUCCCUUAGCUUCUCCUUCCAGUCAUAAGGGAAUCUCAGGGCCUCCCAGUUGCUGUCCAGAGACAGAGAGGCCCCAGGGAGGCCAAGGUCUGAAGCUUUUCACCUGCCCUGAGGGCACCAGGGCUCUUCACAGGGAAUCCACUCCCUGGAGGGACCUCUGCCUUAUGUGAGGAGAGCUAAUUGCUAAGCAGGAAACUGGCUGCUCUGGCCAAGAACCUGGAGCAGCCCAGCCGAUGGAGGAGUCCUCAGGGUUGGAGAUAUGCCAUGGCCACCCUCAAGCCCAAGAUGGAGUCUCUGCUCGGGCCUCAGGACCCAGAGCAGCCACAGCCAUGGGAAAUUAGUUUCUCAGCCCCACCAGCACCUUCCUGGGCCAGGUGGGCCAGGCCUGAGGUGAGAGGAAAGGUCAAUGCUGAGAGGGGGCAGUCUGUCCACACCCUGGCCCCGACCCUGAUGAUGUCUGAGCUUGUUGGCAGCCGCACAGAAGUUGGGGGGCCUGUCCCCCAGGUGCUGCCUCCCCUUAGGGACUUUUCCAGAGAGCAGAUUAUGGGAACCCUUUCCUGGACUAAACUCUGUCCUUCCCCACUUUAUUUCUUGGCCCCCUACUGCACCCCCACCUCUCUUCUCAGAAGCCACAGAGGGUGGGAUGCUUGCAUGUGGCGCCUUCAGGGGAACUCUUGGAGUAGGGGGCCCUCAGGGACUUCCCUGGACUUUUACCUUCAUCUCCCCAUUCCAGUGUCUUCUAGUUUCAGUCUUGACCCCCCCCACACUCUCUGAGCCCAUUUCCAAGAGGUAAGAAGCAACCCCCACAUCUUGUCAUUGUGCCUGGUCCCAAAGGGGCCCUUGGACAGGGCCCUUUAGGCAGAGUCUGUUACUUCCACAGUGGGCUGUCUUCUGCACAGGGACGCUCAGCACAGGCUUGGUGACACCCCUACCCACAUCUGGGGACAGAAUUGCUUUCCUGACAGAGUUAUACACAGGUGGCCUGGUACAGGGACAAGCGCCUCAGAACAGAAGGUUUUCCUCUCCUGUCCUGGGCUUUCUGGGCAGCUGAGGAAGGGCAGAGCCCCUUCCCUGCCCUCAGAAUCUGGCUGCCGCAUGCUCAACCUAUGCCCACACUAGGGGUGCUUCCUGUCCUUGGGGCAGAUCUGGUGGGAUCAAGGUUGACUUGGUGAGGCCAAAGCACAGUAAGAGUUCUCUCUUCCAUCCUCCAGCUCCCUCCUUUGCCCCUGCCUCCCCCCAGCUCCAGCCUCCUCCAAUCUGUUAUUUCCUUUUAUAUCCAAAGAAUUAUAAACAGAAGUCCUUCUCUCAAGGAAACAGCAAGAUUCAGCAAUCCAGGCCAAUGUGAUUGAAAGGGACUUUUUUCAAUGUGGUUGAAAUCCUUCCUGAUCCUUUGCCCUCACGGGCAGUAGAGGCCUGAGGUGAGGGAAAGGGCAGAAAAGCUUUGGGGAGCUGCCUGGGGGACAGCCAGGGAGCCCGUCCACAGAGUGUAUGUCCCCAGCAGGGGCCUGCAAGAUGUCUCUGCUAUCAGGCAGGAUGAAAUUGUAUCCCUGGGACUCAGAGGUGUUGGAUGUGACCUAACCGCAGGGCUCACCCGGAGGAAAGAUCAGGAGAGGAGAGUAGAAGCCCCUGGGGCCAAGGGUGACAAAGGACAGCUGUCCUCACAUGCACCCCUGAGCCCUUGGCAGGGGUGGCAGCUGUGGGGUUUGGCAGGUAGCUGGUGGAGGGCUGAGUCCCUUCGGAGAGCGUGAACCUGGGCAGGGUCCCAAGGUGAAUGAAGGCUUCUGAGUGCAGGCAGCUGUCCUUGGCUUCCUGGCUGUGGUCCCUUCUUUAACCCAUGGCUAAAGUCGGGAUGGGUGCUACAGCUGAAGUGGCCCAUGGCAGCGGCUUCUAGCAGACUUGCCCCGCGUUACCUUGCCCCUUCGUUUCCUUCUCAGGGAGAUGAGUCUUGCCCCUUUUAGCUUCUUAGGAAGCAGCCAGAAGCUGUACCUGUUUCUGUGCUGUCGGGUGGGCCCAGGGCAGGUGGAAACCCUACAGGGCCAACGUAACCCUAGGUCUGCACAGCACAGUCCACGCAGGGCCUCGACUUCUAACCUAGGAUUCUGUGCCUCCCGCCCCUUCCCGGAUAGGCCUGGCUGCCUGCUCUUGAGCCUCACUUUUCCCCAGACACUCCACUGGAUAAUUUUUCUCUUUUCUUCAGUACUGGGAAUUGAAUCCAGGGCCUUUAAACUGAGAUACAUCCCCAGCUCGUUUUCUUUCUUUUUUUUUUUUUCUUUUUUCUGAGGCAAGGUUUCAUUAAGUCAGUAGGUUUCAAGGAUGGAUUCAAAUUUGUGAUCCUCCUGCUUCAGCCUUCCAGAGUGCUGCGAUUACAGGUGCGCACUACCAUGCCCAGCUUAAUUGUGCCCUUUCUGUCCUCCUGCCCUAGUAAGUCCAUGGUCCUUUUCUGGAGACUGUCCUAGUGAUGGGGUGCACAUGUGGAUGAUUCUAUGCUGGGGGUGGGGGCACCACCUCCUUGAAGAAGGGUGGAGGGCCUGACAUUCCCCGUCUGUACAGGGGCCUUCCUGUGCCCACUCCCCCUCUUGGGCUGUGGGCCAUUAAAUGCAGGGUAAAGAAAUGUAGAUGGUGCUUGGGGUCCUUGUGACCUGAGUGGUAUCGGGGACCUUGACCCAUGUUCCCCAAGGCACCUCUCAUCUUGGGCUGCAGGCCUUUAUGAGAAUUUCCUCCACCCCAGGCAAUGGCCUCUUUGAAUGUAGCACGUGGGCCCAUGGACAUAUAUAGGGAGAUUGUUAUUUUUAGAAAAAGAGCAAUAAUUAAACUAACUGAAAUCUUCAUGAGGUGGACAGUGGGACUCUGGGGCUGUGCUGGGGGCACUGUUCACCCUGUGACCUUAUGCUCCUCAGGCCUUAUUUUUGGGAUGAUAUUUCCUCAACUAUAAAGCAUUGGACUGAGGUCCUCUGAGUCCUGUUGGUGUCCAGGGCUCUGUGGGUUGGGGGAAUUGAGCCUCUGUGGGCCUCGGGGCCGGGGAAGCGGAGUGCUCGUGGGUGUCCUGUGCCCGGUGGCUGCACCUGGUAAGACGGCAUGUUUGUGAGCAGAGUGCGUAGACACGGGUGGCAGAGCUGAGAGAUGGAGGGGCGGUGAGAGGGAAAGCAAGAAGCCCAGCGCUUUUGCAUAAUUCCUCUGGCAGCCAGGGCCCGCAUCUCUCCCUCCUCCUACAGCCAGGCCCAACAGAGCAAGUCUGGUAGCCUGGUCGCAGACUCUAGAGCCUGUCUAGUCCACACAGAUGCUGCUGUUGAGCUCUGCACCCUUUCUUCUCCCCACUCUUGCUUUCUCCGUUCUCUCUCUUUACCACCUGCAGAUGCUCAAGAGAUUUAGAAUGAAUCUCAGGGUACCCUGCCCGGUUAUGUAACCACCCCCCCGCCGGGCCUUUGCAUAGCUACCCACAGGCCCAUCUGAGCUGAUAUAAGCUCCCUUGCCCUCGGCAAGAGGGAAGUGCUCAGGCUGGGACUCACCAUGUAGACUGAAUUUGUAGAGGCCCAGUGGCUGGGGACCAGCUUCACCUGGAGAUCCCUCAGGUCCCUAGCAUUGCUCUGAGGCUGACUCCUGUCCAUGACAAAUUGCUUCUCCUCUCCCGGUCUCCUCCAAAAAGGUGGCAGUAGGUCCUUCUCCCUCCCUACCUCACAGGAAGGCACACAUUAGAAGAACACAUUGUAUUGGAAGUGUCCUGAUAUGACUUGGACUUUUGGAGACAGACACUAAGGUCGCAGUGCUGGGAAGAGCUGGACUCUGCGCAGUGAGCCCCUGGCAGGCUGGUCUGGGGAGUCUGACGUUCAUCAUGAAGGCGGCUGCUGUGGUCAGCAGGGGAUUGGGCAGAAAUCACCACAAUAACCAAGGUCUGGGACCUGUCCUGAUGGGACGUACGCUCACCAUCGUCAGCCCGUUCCCAGCACACACAGCUCCCAAGUCUAGGUUGGGAAAGAGUUUAGGACAGGGGCAUCUGGCCUGCCCGAGUGAACCCUCCUGAUCCCUGGGCCACCCUGGAGUGGUCAGUGCCUGCUGUGUUCGGGUCAUGGCUGAUCAGUCCUGCCUGGGCCUCCUUUACUAGAUUCCCAUGGGGUCAGAACCUCAGGGGAGCCCGGGAGGUCAGACCGCUGCUGGGAGCGUGAGGUAGGAGCUCCCUGGGCAUCCCUGGAGGGACUUGUCAUGUUGCGCCAGAAAUUCCAAAGUCAGGAGCCCCCAGAUCUGGGAAGCCUGGGAUCUGGCAGAAACCCGUAGGGUCUAGAAUUCAAGGGUUUUCUAGGGGGCUGCCGGUCUGCCUCCCUUUCCUGGGGUGGGGGUAGCCCUGCCUCUUCCCUCAGUUCAUUCCUGUGCUCCAUGGGGGGGGCAGGAAGAAGGCACAGGAGGGGGAGAUGGCAGGACCCAGACAGAUCCUCAGAACUCUCCCAGCCUCUGUUGCCAUGACACCACUGCUAUUUUUAUCCCGUUGUUCAUGAUGCUCAAAGCUCUGACUUUCUCCGUUCCAAAGAGGCCGGGCUGCCUUCUGCCCUCAUCCCUCAACGCAGUACCUUCUCCCAGAAAGGGGAACCCUAUUAGUCACCCCUUAACCAUGGGGACCUGUUGGACAGGGCUUUUUGUCUUGGCCUGCUACCAGCUCGGGCACCCAGUUUCAGGUUUUUGGGAGAUCAAAGCUCCUGUGGUUGCCCUGGGAGGCGCUGCAGAGAAAUCACAUAGGGCUGCCAUGAGCCUAGGAUGUUUCCCCAUCCACCAUCACCAUCACGCCGGGGCGACUGUCCUGGGGAAGCCAGACCUAGUUUUAAGGAACGUCCUGUUGGUACAAGCCAAUUCUCACUUCUGGAAAAGGGAGAGAGAACUAAGUUUGGUUAAUUAACAGCCAGAUAACACUUGACGUCACUGGGGAAUCCAAACCAAGACUUCCUUUUCUUCUUUCUCUCCACCAAAGAACUAGGACAGUUGGCUUGAUGUCAUUGUCCACUCUUUCUACCCAAAGCAAGACAGUGCAAAUGCUCCGGGGUGGAAGGCAGACGUCCCCUAACCUAGAAAGCUCUGUUCCCCCUAUUGAGGUCUUCCCCCGUGCCUUUGUGGUACUGGGAUCAAACCCAGGGCCUUAUACGUGGUAGCAAGAGCUCUGCUACUGAGCUGCAGUCCCAGGCUGGAGCUUGAGCUCUUGAGGCCCUGGAAGGCAGUGUUUAAUGUUUAACCCAGCCUUUGGUCCUCUUCCUACGUCCCCACUCUUCCUGUGUCCCCCACCUCCUUCGCAGUGGCAGAAGAUCUCUGAGAGUCAAUGGUGCUAAUGUCCCCCACCUGGAUGCUCCUGUAUGGGUCAGCGAGAAUUGAACCUGGCACUUGGGGUGGCUGGGGUGGGAAGUACAUUGCACGUAUAUCCUCAAGGCCGUGACCUGAAGACAGGUGCAUAUCUUAAACCCAGUAGAGUAGCAAUCUGUACCUUGUUAACCCCUGCAUUGAGGGUCUACCUCCGCUGAACUGAAUCCUGGAUGGUUAAUGUUCCUGGGGUGGCCGACACCCAUUUACUAAGCCUCUAAUUGGUUUCAUUUUGGCUCAAGUUGCAUGGUUUCUCAAAUCUGUGCACCUAGAGUAAGCACUUUUCUGGUCGCCACUGAAAAGCAUGCCGA